AUUGAACGCUGGCGGCAUGCCUUACACAUGCAAGUCGAACGGCAGCGGACCUUCGGGUGCCGGCGAGUGGCGAACGGGUGAGUAAUAUAUCGGAACGUACCUUUCAGUGGGGGAUAACGUAGCGAAAGUUACGCUAAUACCGCAUAUUCUGUGAGCAGGAAAGCAGGGGAUCGCAAGACCUUGCGCUGAUUGAGCGGCCGAUAUCAGAUUAGCUAGUUGGUGAGGUAAAGGCUCACCAAGGCGACGAUCUGUAGCGGGUCUGAGAGGAUGAUCCGCCACACUGGAACUGAGACACGGUCCAGACUCCUACGGGAGGCAGCAGUGGGGAAUUUUGGACAAUGGGCGCAAGCCUGAUCCAGCCAUGCCGCGUGAGUGAAGAAGGG
rnacentral:rRNA from 1 species